rnacentral:sRNA from 1 species
AGAGGAAAAACGGCCAACAGCAGCGCCCGGCUCCCGGCUCAGCCCCCGGAGUGUGGAGCCGCCCAGAGGGUAACGCUUCUCACAGGGGACCGUGUCUCAGCAGC